rnacentral:rRNA from 1 species
UACAGAGGGUGCAAGCGUUGUUCGGAAUUAUUGGGCGUAAAGAGCUCGUAGGCGGUUUGUCGCGUCUGCUGUGAAAACUCGGGGCUUAACUCCGGGCCUGCAGUGGGUACGGGCAGACUAGAGUGCGGUAGGGGAGACUGGAAUUCCUGGUGUAGCGGUGAAAUGCGCAGAUAUCAGGAGGAACACCGGUGGCGAAGGCGGGUCUCUGGGCCGUAACUGACGCUGAGGAGCGAAAGCGUGGGGAGCGAACAGG